UACGUAGGGUGCGAGCGUUAAUCGGAAUUACUGGGCGUAAAGCGUGCGCAGGCGGUUCUGAAAGUCAGCUGUGAAAGCCCCGGGCUUAACCUGGGAACGGCGGUUGAAACUACAGGACUAGAAUCUGGCAGAGGGGGGUGGAAUUCCACGUGUAGCAGUGAAAUGCGUGGAGAUGUGGAGGAACACCGAUGGCGAAGGCAGCCCCCUGGGCUGAGAUUGACGCUCAGGCACGAAAGCGUGGGGAGCAAACAGG
rnacentral:rRNA from 1 species